AGAAACGAUUCACGGACAGUUCAGUUUGUUAAUUUAUUCGUGUCUGUGUCAACGUUUUUCGUGAACCUGUGUAUGUAUUUAUAUUUUGUGUCGAAUUUAUUUACUCCACCCUUUUUGAACUCGGAAAGCCAACCUAAAUGUUAGGAUGUGAAAGUCGAAAUCCAAAUUCAGGCGAAAUGCGAUGGAGGUUUUCCCCUUGUUAAAGGAAAAGUAUUCCUGAACAUCAUCCGAAGAAAAAGUCGUAUUCAUAAGUAUUAGAAACGAGCUUAAAGAAGGAAGAGAAAAACUAAUUCAGAUUUGAAGUUUGUUGCCUAUCGAGGAUGUGAAAAUGCUAUUGCUUUCCAACUGAAGUGGAUUCUCCGAUUCGUCUAUUCUUCUGGAAAGACACAGUUGUAUCUGAUAGGUACAUCAAUGGAAUUCAAUUAGGAUACAGACAUAGUAACAUCAAUUAUUUCAGAGUGAGUGAGUGGUGAUGAAACUUCUUUGAGGGAUAUCAACAGUAGUGGAUUUGUGGAAGAGUUUGAUAUUGAACCACCAUGCCUUCGCUUUCUAUUUUAAAUAUCCAUCAAAAUGUUCAACAGGAAAGAUUAUCAUAAAUGUUCACCCACAUGAAUAUAGUACAUAUUUGUUAAAUUUU